GCAGCCGCGGUAAUACGUAGGAUGCAAGCGUUAUCCGGAAUGACUGGGCGUAAAGGGUGCGUAGGCGGUUUAGCAAGUUGGUAGCGUAAUUCCGGGGCUCAACUUCGGAACUACUACCAAAACUGCUAGGCUUGAGUGCGGUAGGGGUAUGUGGAAUUCCUAGUGUAGCGGUGGAAUGCGUAGAUAUUAGGAGGAACACCGGAGGCGAAAGCGACAUACUGGGCCGUAACUGACGCUGAGGCACGAAAGCGUGGGGAGCAAACAGGAUUAGAUACCCC
rnacentral:rRNA from 1 species